CGAUGUCGGCUCGUCGCAUCCUGGGGCUGGAGCAGGUCCCAAGGGUUUGGCUGUUCGCCAAUUAAAGCGGUACGCGAGCUGGGUUCAGAACGUCGUGAGACAGUUCGGUCCCUAUCCGCUGCAGGCGUUGGAGAUUUGAGAGAUGCUGUCCCUAGUACGAGAGGACCGGGAUGGACGAACCUCUAGUGCACCAGUUGUCGUGCCAACGGCAUCGCUGGGUAGCUAUGUUCGGACGGGAUAACCGCUGAAAGCAUCUAAGCGGGAAGCCCAUCUCGAGAUUAGAUCUCCCUGGACUUCGGUCCCUGAAGACACCUGGAAGACUACCAGGUUGAUAGGCCGCAGGUGUAAGCGCAGUAAUGCGUUCAGCCGAGCGGUACUAAUCUGUCGUGAGGCUUGACCAU
rnacentral:rRNA from 1 species